rnacentral:rRNA from 1 species
GGGUUAUGGGCGAGCCUGAUGGAGCACGCCGCGUGAGUGAAGAAGGUUUUCGGAUCGUAAAACUCUGUUGUAAGGGAAGAACAAGUACAGUAGUAACUGGCUGUACCUUGACGGUACCUUAUUAGAAAGCCACGGCUAACUACGUGCCAGCAGCCGCGGUAAUACGUAGGUGGCAAGCGUUGUCCGGAAUUAUUGGGCGUAAAGCGCGCGCAGGCGGUCCUUUAAGUCUGAUGUG